GGCUCAGAGCGAACGCUGGCGGCGUACUUAACACAUGCAAGUCGAACGAGGAUCAUCCGUGUAGCAAUACAUUGGUGGUCCUAGUGGCGCACGGGUGAGUAACACGUGGGUGACCUGCCCUAGAGCUCGGGAUACCCCCUCGAAAGGGGGGCUAAUACCGGAUACGUUCCUCGGUCGAAAGAUCGGGGAGGAAAGGUGGCGCAAGCUGCCGCUCUUGGAGGGGCUCGCGGCCUAUCAGCUAGUUGGCGGGGUAACGGCCCACCAAGGCUAUGACGGGUAGCUGGUCUGAGAGGACGACCAGCCACACGGGGACUGAGACACGGCCCCGACUCCUACGGGAGGCAGCAGUGGGGAAUUUUCCGCAAUGGGCGAAAGCCUGACGGAGUGACGCCGCGUGUGGGACGAAGGCCUUCGGGUCGUAAACCACUGUCAGUGGGAAAGAUGGGUGUCGGGGCUAAUACCUCCGGCAUCUGACGGUACCUGCAGAGGAAGCCCCGGCCAACUCUGUGCCAGCAGCCGCGGUAAGACAGAGGGGGCAAGCGUUGCUCGGAAUUACUGGGCGUAAAGGGCGCGUAGGCGGGAUGGCAAGUCGGUCGUGAAAUCCCUCGGCUCAACCGAGGAACGUCGAUCGAUACUGCUGUUCUUGAGGAUUGCAGAGGAGACUGGAAUUCCCGGUGUAGCGGUGAAAUGUGUAGAGAUCGGGAGGAACACCGGUGGCGAAGGCGGGUCUCUGGGCAAUUCCUGACGCUGAGGCGCGAAAGCGUGGGGAGCAAACGGGAUUAGAUACCCCGGUAGUCCACGCUGUAAACGAUGACGACUAGGUGUGGGGGGGUUCAGUCCCUUCCGUGCCGCAGCUAACGCAUUAAGUCGUCCGCCUGGGGAGUAC
rnacentral:rRNA from 1 species